AGUAGUGUAAUGGUUUUAAGCACGCCAGUCUGUGGAACUGGUAGAGGGAGUUCGAAUCUCCUCUUUAGCCCCA
rnacentral:tRNA from 1 species